ACUCAAAUGAAUUGACGGGGAGGCGCACAAGCAGUGGAGCAUGUGGUUUAAUUCGAGACAAAGCGAAAAACCUCACCUGGGAUUGACAUGGACCUGCAAGCGCACGGAAACGUGUGAUCUUCGAGAGUGGUCCACAGAUGCUGCAUGGCUGUCGUCAGCUCGUGGCGUGAGCUGUUCCCUUAAGUGGGUCAACGAGCGCAACCCGCACCGUAUGUUAAAUAAUUCAUAUGGAACUGCCCCCUUUCGGGGGAGGAAGGCGCGGAUGAUGUCAAGUCAGCACGGCUCUUACACCCAGGGCUACACACAUCCUACAAUGGACAACAACAACGAGCCGCAAGCCGGUAACGGUAAGCUAAUCUCUGAAAUUUGUCCUCAGUUCAGAUCGGGGUCUGCAAUUCGACCCCGUGAAGUCGGAAUUGCUAGUAAUCGCGAAUCAGCAGGUCGCGGUGAAUACGUUCUCGCCUCUUGUACACACCGCCCGU
rnacentral:rRNA from 1 species